AGAGUUUGAUCCUGGCUCAGAACGAACGCUGGCGGCGUGCCUGAGACAUGCAAGUCGUGGGAGAAAGUCGGGGUAACUCGGCGAGUAAACCGGCGCACGGGUGAGUAACACGUGGAUAACCUGCCUUGGAGUUCGGGAUAACCCGUCGAAAGACGGGCUAAUACCAGAUAAGACCACGAAGAGUUCGCUCUUUGCGGUAA
rnacentral:rRNA from 1 species